AGCUUAUKGAAAAUUUAUAAUAAGUAUAUUCUSCCCAGUGAUUUUAUUUAACGGCCGCGGUACUCUGACCGUGCAAAGGUAGCAUAAUCAUUUGCCUUUUAAUUGAAGGCUAGAAUGAAUGAAUAAACAAGAAUCUAACUUUCCCAGAUUAUAAUUUAAAAAUUAUUCUUUAGGUGAAGAAACCUAAAUUUUAUAAAAAGACAAGAAGACCCUAUCAAGCUUUAUUUUUUUAAAACCCUAUUUUCUAAAAAUAUUUGGUUGGGGCGAUUAAUGGAGUUUUUUAAACCUCCAUAACCUUUAUGAUUUAUAAUUCUCUUAAUUUAAAAAUUUAAAACAAAAAAGCUACUGUAGGGAUAACAGGCUAAUAUCUUCUAAGAGUUCAAAUUAAAGAAGAUGAUUGGCACCUCGAUGUUGGCUUAGGGUUACUCUUUUUUGCAGAAGAAAAAGAAGUUAGUUUGUUCAACUAUUAAAUCCCU
rnacentral:rRNA from 1 species